rnacentral:rRNA from 1 species
CUUGAACGCUGGCGGCAAGCUUAACACAUGCAAGUCGAACGCGUGGCGGACGGGUGAUUAAUGCUUGGGAAUCUAGCUUAUUGAGGCGGAUAACUACGGGAAACUGUAGCUAAUGCCGCGUACCAUAGUAUGAGCCCAAGGGGGAUUAGGUAGUUGGUGAGGUAAAGGCGAACCAAGCCGACGAUCUCUAGCUGGUAUGAGAGGAUGACCAGCCACACUGGGACUGAGACACGGCCCAGACUCCGACGGGAGGCAGCAGUGGGGAAUAUUGCGCAAUGGGGGCAAGCCUGACGCAGCAAUGCCGCGUGAAGGAAGAAGGCCUUCGGGUUGUAAAGUUCUUUCGGCGGGGAGGCGUUACCCGCAGAAGAAGCACCGGCUAACUCCGUGCCAGCAGCCGCGGUAAUAC